ACCGGCUUCCGCCGCUUGCGACUGGCGUAGGUGAUGUUGGCGCUGCUGCUGUUCAUGGUGCCCAGCCGACGGCGGCGGCUACUCCCCGGGCACUGGCGGCCGGGUCCCCGGAACCCGGUGUAGGCUGGGACCACUGCGGCGGCCGGCGCCGGGUUCCGCGAAGCCGCGCCCGCUCCACCUGCGUCCUCUCGGGACAGUGGCGUGGGCGCCGCGCCUCAACGCCUCGGCUCACGCAGGCUUCCGCAGCCCGCGCCAGUACAGCUUGCAACACCAUGAAAAAAUUACUGAGACACUAGGAAUGCUGUGAACUGAGAAAGUUUGGGACCUUUGGCAUAACUAAAUCCUUCAUUUAACAGAUGGAGUCUCAGUCUGUCACUAAGGCUGGAGUGCAGUGGCGCGAUCUCGGCUCACUGCAACCUCCACCUCCCGGGUUCACGCGAUUCUCCAGCCUCAGCCUUCCACGUAGCUGGGACUACAGGUGCAUGCCACCACACCCAGUGUUGUGAACCACUUGUCAUGGGAUAACCAAAAUUAAACCUGGAAUCGCAGAAGAAACAAAUUUUUUGAAGAAAUUGGAUGUACUUUUUUAAAAUUUUUCAUUCAACUAAAACUUUGUUAACUGUUUCUUGGUUGUGGUCUUCUCUAAAUUGUAAUCUUUGGCAUUCACUUCCAAAGUAUCCACCACUAAACUUCAUAACAUUUAUUGUGUCUCUUCAUCAUUAAACUUUGAUGAAUUUACAGAGUGUCUUUUGAAAUUAUGUUCUUGAGAAAGCCAGGGGAUUGGACGGUGUCAUGGAAAUGUCAAAGAAAAAGUGACACCUGAGAGAAAAUUUGAAAGAUGAAAGGUGCACAUCAUGGAGACAAUCUGACUGGUACAGAGAAAUGAAGAGACAACAUUUUCUUUCCAAAUCUGAGUGGAGAUACUCAGAGUUUCUUCUCAAAUGUACACUGAUAAAUACUCAACUGAAGAUUCAACUGAAAUCCUCUAUGGGUCUCCAGACUCCCCCAUUCUGGAACUCUUCCCUGCAAAUUCCAGCUGCCUAAACUCCCUUCCAUCUCUCAGUUUCUCUAUAACUGAGGAACACCGUCAGGCUCCAGCUGGAUUUUCCUUCCUUGUGCACUGAUCUGGAAAGUCUUUCACAUCAGUAAGUGAGGGAAAUCAUAGAGUUCUCCUGGAUAGAAGAGGCCCUGGUUAGCAGCUUCAGAUGAUGGAUACAUAAAAAUGGGAGAGAGAAAACAUAUAAGAGUGACUAAUUGUUGAGUUUCCAGGGCUCAAACCAAUCUUGAAUUGGAAUUUCAAGACAUAAAAACCACUGCAGGAACCUGCUGGAGAAACGGCCUCUGUCAUCUCAUGAUCAGAUAUGUUGCCAUUUAUAGGAUGUUUGUAUUCCUGCUUUUCUCCAAUAUACUAAAUAUUGUUGUGGGAUCACAUGAUCAAAUGAAGAUUAUGACAGAAGAAUCUAACUGUAUUACAAAUGUGUGAAACAGCCUUGUUGAAAGGAGUCGGGGUAAAGUGCUGACCUAAUUAACCUUGGAAAUAAGAUGUGCAAGAAUAAGGUUAACAGACCUCAACGCAAGCACUGUGCUGUAGUUGAUAAAGCUGUACAUAGUGGCUUCCUUUUAAAGAGUAUAACGUGGAAAGAUUGAAAAAGAGUAACUUUACAGUGGAGAAAAUGGACAACGAUGUUGCAGCCAGGCAAUCCACGGUAAUAUCAGCAGUGACAAGGUAUGCUGACAGGAUGCACUCUCCUUGGUAUUUAAGGAAAGAUUGUUAUCCACCCAAAAGCCCAUAACCCCCUUUUAACCACAAGGUUAAACAUCAGGCCACUUCACUAGAUGCACGUUCUCAGCUUGUGCCCAUCUCAAGUACCAUCACUGUGGUCUCGCCUGGUACUCUUUUUGUUUUUUUUUCCCACAGUGGCCAGACAGGCCCUUUUCCGAUUCUCCAUACACACUUGAGAGUGGAUUGUAAUGUUGAACAAGGAAGAGAGAUAGGAAAAAAAAAAAAAAAAACUAUGCAGCCUAGAACAUUGCUUCUAAACAUGUCCAUGCUCACAGAUCUGCCGGGGUCAGACUCCUCAUAGAUGCAGCUCACCUGACUUCUCAGGAAGCCCUCAGAUGAGUUUCACUAGUGAUGGGGCAAAUUGAAACUGCUACAUAUUGAGAAUGGGAACUGGCUCAGAGAGUGUGGAUUUCUCUCUUGAAGUCUGGUUUUCACUCUG